GCCAGGAAGUCCCUUUCCCUUUUCUCCUUAAUUUCUCUAUAUAUAUAUUCAAACAUUGAGGACAAUAUUUGGGAUAGGUGUGGGGGGUACUGGAGAGUAUUUAUUCACUGAUUAGACCAUCUUUUGAUUUCUAUUUGUUUCUUUUUGUUUCUUUUUGCAUUGUUCUUACCUCUUUUUGCACACACCAGAAUUUUUUUCACACUUUCUGCACACACACACAGAAUUUUGUCUUAGCUUUUGCUCUACUCAACAUAGAUAACAAGGUUAAAAGAGCUUCCUUAUCUCAUGACCCCAUUGAUUUGCCACCCCUUUAAGCCUAAAUUGAAUCAUUCACAGUAUGUUACCUUCACUUAGGGAGUUUUUUUCUUGAAUUGA
rnacentral:lncRNA from 1 species